CGGAGAAAUAAACUUAAUCGAUGGAAAAAAGAUUAUGAUCAUCAUACGGGGACUACUUCAUUUGCCCAGAUUGAGGAUCAAUUUUGUAGGACAACGAACGCUCCCUUUAUCCCACUACCAGAACUGCACAGGAGAACGAUGGUUCAAUUUAAGAAGGGGUACGAUGACGAUGAGAAUAGGAAACAAAAGCUAGAAUUGGCCAAGAAAAUGCAGGAAGCUCUGGAAAACACAUAUUCUGAUGUUGUUGCACAGAGCCAGGAGCCCCUGACUAGAGAGCAGAAUUAUAAUGUGAG